GCUACCUUGAAAAAUUUCGACGAGAUCGUCCAACUCAACCUCUCACCGAUCAAUAGCCUCAGCCACAAGCUGAGGAAACAAUCAACAAUCGGCCAACGGUAGAAGUGAUCAACAUAAUUUCUGGGUGACCGAAGAAUUUGGAGACAACUUUCGAAGAAAAGUCGACAAAGAAACGACGACUUGAUAAUGUAAUCUUUUUUUCAGAAGAUGAUGUUCGAAGAAUACAAAUUCCUCAUGAUGAUGCUAUCAUCGUCUCAACGAUGAUAG
rnacentral:lncRNA from 1 species